rnacentral:miRNA from 1 species
UGAUUUAUGUGGUGAUUGUGC